rnacentral:rRNA from 1 species
UACGGGGGGGGCAAGCGUUGUUCGGAAUUACUGGGCGUAAAGGGCUCGUAGGCGGCCAACUAAGUCAGACGUGAAAUCCCUCGGCUUAACCGGGGAACUGCGUCUGAUACUGGAUGGCUCGAGUUUGGGAGAGGGAUGCGGAAUUCCAGGUGUAGCGGUGAAAUGCGUAGAUAUCUGGAGGAACACCGGUGGCGAAGGCGGCUCUCUGGACAGUGACUGACGCUGAGACGCGAAAGCGUGGGUAGCAAACAGG